CGGACAGACGUGAUAUCCCAAGAGGGUCAGCUACAAAUAACAUGGAGCUGCUGUAGUAGGACGGAGAGGGGUGAUAGAUGGUGGCAAAAGAUGGAGGUGAUGGAACCGUGGGAUGUAUUUCACUGUCAAUCAGGGAAACAUCACACCCAUUUAGCGCUUUGGGAUUUAGGGCACGAGUGGAAAAAAUAUGGUGUUGUUCUUAAGUGUAUGGUCUGUGCAGAUGUCAGUGGCUCCCAGAAGGAAUGACCAUGAGCGUCAGUGAGUGUGACAGGUGCACAACAGCACCUACAUGGCUGUGUUCAAGGAUCACUCAUUCACACAGGCCCACAAACCAGAGCUUGAAGCUCACUCUCUGCCGGCAUAUAACCUCUGACGCCUUGUCAAGGUCAAAUGAAUCCUGUAAUUAGCCUGUGCCGUAGAAAGGCGGAGAUGCAGAAAUAACCAAUACAAGUCAGCAGUUGAUCAGCAGCCCCGCAGAUUUUGUCAUAAUCGAGCCAUAUGUGGACUCGCAUGGCGCGGCGGCGUCAAGCGCAGAGGAUUAAAGAGCGUCGCUCACCGUCAGUGCUGCGACGAAAUAUCCAUCUAGCAGGUGAUGGAGUGGAAGCCAAAGCCCAUCUCAUUUGAGCCAUUCAAAUUGAUGUGUUUGAGGUCAAACGAUCUCUAGUUAUUCGAGCGAUUCACGUCACACGAGACUAUCAAUUCAUAAAAGCGAAACAAGCACACGAUCUACGAGUGUGAAAUGGGGAGAAACGAGUAGAAAAUAGAGAUUCUCACCUUAAGUAGUGUACAGAACGAAGUCUGAAGUCCAAGUCAGCGUGACAGUAUGAAUCCACAGUGAGCGUGGGUUAUCUUCAUUCAGGCACUGUCUCCGGAUGCAACAUCUCUGCGCGCAUAGAGAUGCCAAAUCACAGAGCUUCCAGUCACACAGGGCGCAUGGUGCGUAAAGUCUGACGCAGGAGCGCGACGCCUGCCACAACUUUGGCUACUAUAAUCACAUUAACUUGUGCAGGUAACGACCCCUUACUACCGAUUUGCACUCAGUCAGCACUUUGAAGUUGUUCCACAGCUCCGUGAAAAAAAACUGCUCACACCUCCGGUUUCCACGUGCUUCUGGCUGUGCUGUUGUUGGAUAAAUCAGACAGCUCCCCUUUGGAUGAAAAAAUUACUAUGGCAAGUCACGACGAAGUCUGACGCAGGUUUGACUCACCCGCUCGUGCGCACGUCAGCGAUUGCCCCCCCCCCUCCCCUCCAAAAAAAAAAAACAAGCCAUCUGCAGUGAUCACACGAUGCAAAUGAGAUCGUCACAAAGCACCUACAGGCGCUCUGCAGUACAAGGCUGUGAAUGAGCCACUGAAGUCUAGCUCAACAAACCUUCAUCCCCUCUGCAAAAUACAACUUUACACAUGCUCUGUUUUCAUGCCAGUGGUUCAUCGCUUCUGAUGUGUGACUCGACAUGUAAACAGGAGAGCCAGGUUGCCAGGUCACAAAUUAACAAUGCUGACGAACACCGGCGGGUUGAAUCUGAUCUCUGUCUCGGCAGGGGUAUCUGUUGCAGCUCAACCUCAUCGGCAAUCCCUGUUUACCUUCUGUCCCCCCUUUUCCUGGUGGAGAUGGUGCAGUCUAAACUGUGGCACGUGUACUGACACCUUAGCCUGCUCCCUUGUGUGAGAUUGCUGGUGUAGGAGAGAGGCGGACAAGUACAGAGGAAGUGAUGCUUCAGCUAGUCCUGAGUGACUACCUGCAACUCCUCUGCACAUGAAGAAGGAGGAAAAAGAGCCGCAGGGCAGCUGUUACCAAGCCGGCUCACCUGUCCUCUUUAUGGAAAUGCUGCUGAUGCAAUAGCAUCCUUACUUACCUAGAUUUAAAGUGACACGUGGCCCAUUGGCAGCUUGAUAAAGCGUCACUCUUUUAUCUCCAGACAAAGAAAGAAACAUAAAAGUCAUGACCUCAACAGGACAAACAGGAGUAUUGAAAUCUGUGAUGAAUGUGCAGCCGUAAAAUCAUUAUCAGGGAAUGCCUUGAGACAGCAACAAACACUAAUUUGAGCCAAAGAUGCAAUAAAGGCAAUAUAAGACACAUAC